rnacentral:rRNA from 1 species
UACGAACCGUGCGAACGUUAUUCGGAAUCACUGGGCUUAAAGCGCGUGUAGGCGGAUGGGGACGUCGGUCGCUGAAAUCCCCCGGCUCAACCGGGGAACUGGCCCCGAAACGCCCCGUCUGGAGGAACGUAGGGGGAUCUGGAACUUCCGGUGGAGCGGUGAAAUGCGUUGAGAUCGGAAGGAACGCCCGUGGCGAAAGCGAGAUCCUGGACGUUUUCUGACGCUGAGACGCGAAAGCUAGGGUAGCGAACGGG